rnacentral:rRNA from 1 species
UACGUAGGGGGCGAGCGUUGUCCGGAUUUAUUGGGCGUAAAGAGCGCGCAGGCGGUCUUAUAAGUCGAAUGUGAAAGCCCCUGGCUCAACUAGGGAGAGUCAUUCGAUACUGUUCGACUCGAAGGCAGGAGAGGGAAGUGGAAUUCCGGGUGUAGUGGUGAAAUGCGUAGAUAUCCGGAGGAACACCAGUGGCGAAGGCGACUUUCUGGCCUGUUCUUGACGCUGAGGCGCGAAAGCUAGGGGAGCAAACGGG